CUGAAGAGGGCAGAAAAUCCUAGCCAGUGGGCUUCAGAAGAACCAUAACCAACAAGGAAAGCCUCCACUAUACACCUGUAUGGAAGAAACCAAAAACAUGACAAGAGAAAGAAACAAACAAAAAAUCCCCAGCCCCCAGCCCUGAGAACAUUGAUCCAGGAGAGGUAAAUACAAAAGAGACUGGGGGCAGCAAACAUGCAAUAUCAGACACGGCAUCAGUGGACAUAAAGCAGAAUCUUCGGGAACUCAUAGCCGAGCUCAAAAGUGAAAUAUUUAAUCAAGUAAAGCAAGAUAUAAGUAGAUUAAUAAAAGAAAUGCUAAGCAUCUUUCAAGAAGACAGACGGGCUUCCGGGAGAACAUGGCAGACAGAUAACAGCUACUACGGAGGCUCUCUGAAAGACUCGGCUCAGAAGUCAGGAAGGGUGCGGAGUAAGGAGACAUAAGCCGGUGGAGAUAUGCUCUGCUGACUCAGGAACGAACUGAGCUGAGAGAAACCAACUUGGAAUGCAGUCCUGGUGCUAAAAUAGGAACAGAAAAGCCUCAGUGUGGAGGCUGGAGCCUGCGCCAUUGGAAGCUGCGAUUUGGGUUUCCCGCUGCGCGGCGGCUGCCUCUACGUCAGCUCGGCAAGGAGAGAGACGCGCGGAAGCUCUGAGAACGGGGGUCUGCGAACGGAGUCGAAAACAGGACGGGCAGGGAGGCGUGCACUGGCUUGUGGUGAGAAGACAGACGGAAGAAUGGAGGAGCACAAGAAAAGGAGAGAAACGUUCGAUGAAGAAUGCAGAGAAAACCUAGAAUACAUGAAGCAGAUUCAGAGAUUACCAGUAAAUUAAAAACUCCAUUGAAAGCUGGCAAAACUGCUUGAAAGAAACUAAGGAUAGACUACCAAAACUUGAAGACAGGUUUGCAAUGUGUGGUCAUGAAAGGAAAAAUCUCUUAAAAAUAACAAAGAAACACACGCAAUAACAAUACAAAAGCUAGAACAUGACAAAAGGAUCUAUAAUUUAAGACUAAAGAAUGUGAAUGAAGAAGCAGGAGUAAAAACAAAGGAAAUACAAAAGCUAAUCACAGAAAUAAUUAAGGAAAACUUCCCAAGCAUAGGAAAAGGAAAUGAUACUCAGAUAUAUGAGGCAUACAGAACUCCAGCCACCUACAACCAAAACAGAGCUACACCCAGACAUAUAAUAAUCAAGAUCCCAGAAAUUCAAUAUAAGAACAGAAUAUUAAAAGCUGUCAGAGAAAAGAAACAGAUCACCUAUAAAGAAAAAUCCAUCAAAAUCACAGCAGACUGCUCGACACAGACCAUCAAAUCAAGAAGAGCUUGGAGCAAAGUAUUCCAAGCCCUGAAAGAAAAUAACCUCCAGUCCAGAUUGAUGCCCCCUAAAAAACUGUCUCUAAAAAUUAAUGGAGAAACAAGAUGCUUUCAAAACAAACAAGAAUUGGGGGAAUUCGUGACCACCAAUCCAACCCUACAGAGAAUACUGAAGGACAUUCUAGAGAGAGAAAAAAGUACCAGGAUUUCAGGAACAGUGGCAGAGAGGCCUCAAUGAAUGGAGCAGACAGUGGAAUGAAGGAGAAAAGCAGACAACUAAUGGCAGAAAAAUAGCACAACAGAAAUGAGGCAGAAAAGGUUGGCUAUAAUCUCUAAUAUAGAUGGCCUGGAUACACUAAAAAAAAAAAGAGAAGAAAAAAAGAAACACAGGCAGAGUAGAACAGGAGGCAGGGUCCACUGAGAUGCUCUAUAUAAAAAAUAUAAUUAACCUGAAAAAAGGUUUACAGACCGAAAAUCAAAUAUGAGAAAACAAUGCUCUGUGACAGGGAACCAGAGAGUAAUAGGGGCAACUUGAUCAGCACCUGCAGAUAGGUUGGAAAGACAGGUUUUGCAGGUAAAGGAAUGCAACUGGAGAUCAAGUCCAGGAGGGAGAAGGUUCAGAAUCACUUAGGUAAAUAGCAGGUUACCCCCUCAAUCUAAAAACUGAGGAAGUUGCUGGGACCCAGAAAUGCACAGUGCACCCUGUGGAGUGAAAGGGGAGGAAUAAUAUAAAAAAGAAGGCAGAGGAUAUCGAUAUUGUUAAUAGUGUAUCGGGAUUUAAAAUCCACAUUACUUACACCAUUCUCUUUAGAUAGAUUAUAUUCUAUCCCAGUUUGUCUACUUGCACUAGAUCUGAGGGCACAGGCAGCUACCCCAAAAAUAGCAGGAUAAAUAGUAUGGUAAUCAUCCUUAAUUCCCUAUUAACUUAGUCUGAAGUCUUGUAUAACUUUUACUGUUUUACCAUGACUGAUCUUAGUUGAAUCUGGUUUGUUAGAUUGCUGUUUGGUAUCGACAGAGUUUAUUUAAAACUGUUACAAUUAAUAGUAUCAAGUCUGAGAGUAUAAGCAACUACACUGAAGAUGACAAGAUUCACUACAAUACCAAUUUUGGUUUGCUUAUUACCUGCUUUUGAAGUUUUAUACUAUCUACAAUGUUUUGUUUUUAUUAAUUUUGUUAUGUACUGCUAUGUUCAGUUAUACUAUGCCUGAUGAUAUAGACAAUUCUAUUGACAAUAACAAGAGACAACACAGUAACCAUUGUGGAUCACCUGUACUGUGGUUUUAUAUGACUUUUUUGUUUCAUGUGUUUAUUGGAAUAUGUUUUGUUUUGUCUUGCUCUUUUUGUUUCUCCCUCUAAUAUAGGAAGGAUAGAAAUACAUGUAGAGACUCAUGCAUGCGUAGAUUCUAUAAACAGUUUAUGAGAACUUAUAACGCAUGAUGAAAUGAACAACUACUUUGAAGAAAAAGAGACACUACAGUCCCCCGUGCUGAUCCCGUAGUGUCAUGAUGUGAAAUCCAGCAAUACUAUUAUUCUUUGUUCAGAGUGAUUUUAGCCUGCUUUGGUUUGUUUAAUCUUAACAUACAUGAAGAUAUGGAUAAGUAUAUGUAUGUUUAAGUGUAUAGGAUUGUUAACCAUAUUAUUAAGUUUUUGUUGGAUAGUUGAACAGAACUGUUUGCAGUCUCGCUGUUUGAAUGUCCACUUUGUAUGCUUCAUUUUUGUAACUUUAACAACUAUUUGUAAGAGGACAGUAUGUAAUUAUCAGCUAGGGAUUUCUUACUGUUUAUUUUUCCUUUGAAGAUAUGUAUUAUUUCUACCCUUUUUCUGUUUUGUUUAUUCUUUCUUUAAAUAAAAUAAAUUUUUAAAAA